AGUAACUCUUUUGUAAUGUCAAGCUAAUGCAAUGAUAUUCUAUUGAAACCCUAGCCGCCUCUUUCUCUUUUCCUAUUUGUGUAUCUCUAAUUUUAACAUGGUAUCGAGAGCUUGUUUUGAUCCUCCUUAGAUUGUAUUUUGUUAUUCCGCUGCCGAGUUCCCAAAAGUUUGGGAAUAUUGUAUCAUUGGUUUGAUUGAAUUCUUGGGUAUUUUGAAUUAUUUUGUUAGAUAUUUCUCAUGUUGUUUUGAAAGAAUCGGCUGGAAAAGAGUGUUGUGGCUUCUUUGAUUUUGCAAGCAUCGGUAUGCUGUGGAAAUUUGCGUUUCACUCCUUCAGUGGAUUUGUUUCGGUAGCUUCAAUUACCUUUGUUGGUCAACAAGUCUGUAAGUGUUCAUAAGUUUCUAUAUGUCUUCUCUAUUUGUGAUUUUGGUUACAUUGCUUUAUAGAAGAAAAAGAAAAGGGCCACACGUUUGAUUAUGAGGAAAAUUGGUGGAUAACGUGUUGGAUUUUUUUAAGGUUAGCAUAUUGUAUUCUUUUGUCCCUGGUAACAAGAAUUUUGGCAGAGCAAUUUUAUGACUAUUGUUGAAGGCAUCCGGUGGAGUUGUGAAACGAGCCGUUCUUUUGUUAUUGGAAUUGAAUUGAGUCAAUUGACUGUUUGUCUUUUUGGCUUUCGGUAUGGUUCUAAUGUUUUCCAUGUAGUUUGGUCCGGUUUGAUUUUCUCUUUGGUCGAUUCUUUCUUUAUUGGUACCGUUGGUUUCUCUUUAUUUCACUUCUCUCUGGCUUCUUCUGAUUGCAUUGCAUUUCUCCCUAUUGUACUUCUAUUCUGAUUGUAUUGCACUUCUCCCUAUUGCACUUCUCUUCUGAUUGCAUUGCACUUCUCCCUAUUGUACUUCUGUUCUGAUUGUAUUGCACUUCUCCCUAUUGCACUUCUCUUCUGAUUGUAUUCCACUUCUCCCCC
rnacentral:lncRNA from 1 species